rnacentral:sRNA from 1 species
GCGGAGUGCGGUGGCGCACGCCUGUAAUCCCAAUAGCUCAGGAGGCUGAGGCAGGAGGAUCGCAAGUUCAAAGCCAGCCUCAGCAACUUCGAGAUGCUAAGCAACUCAGUGAGACCCUGUCUCUA